rnacentral:rRNA from 1 species
AGCGAACGCUGGCGGCAGGCCUAACACAUGCAAGUCGAACGGAGUGGCGGACGGGUGAGUAACACGUGGGAACGUGCCCUUUGGUUCGGAACAACUCAGGGAAACUUGAGCUAAUACCGGAAGCCAUUGGAGCGGCCCGCGUCUGAUUAGCUAGUUGGUGAGGUAAAGGCUCACGAAGGCGACGAUCAGUAGCUGGUCUGAGAGGAUGAUCAGCCACAUUUGGACUGAGACACGGCCCAAACUCCUACGGGAGGCAGCAGUGGGGAAUCUUGCGCAAUGGGCGAAAUCCUGACGGAGCCAUGCCGCGUGAAUGAUGAAGGUCUUAGGAUUGUAAAAUUCUUUCACCGGGGACGCGUUACCCGGAGAAGAAGUCCCGGCUAACCUCGUGCCAGCCGCCGCAGUAAUUC